GCCAGUGGUGGCUCAGCGGUUAAGACGUCGGGCUACUUAUUGGAAGGUCAUGAGUUCAAACCCCAGCACUGCCA